GAUGAAGAACGCAGCGAAAUGCGAUAAGUAGUGUGAAUUGCAGAAUUCAGUGAAUCAUCGAAUCUUUGAACGCACAUUGCGCCCCUUGGUAUUCCAUGGGGCAUGCCUGUUCGAGCAUCAUCUACACCCUCAAGCUCUGCUUGGUGUUGGGCGUCUGUCCCGCCCCCGCGCGUGGACUCGCCCCAAAUCCAUUGGCAGCGUUCCUUGCCCCCUCUCGCGCAGCACAUUGCGCUUCUCGAGGGCGGCUCCGGGACGCGAUCCAGCAAGAUGACCACCGUCUUUGACCUCGGAUCAGGUAGGGAUACCCGCUGAACUUAAGCAUAUCAAUAAGCGGAGGA
rnacentral:misc_RNA from 1 species